rnacentral:rRNA from 1 species
GACGAACGCUGGCGGCGUGCUUAACACAUGCAAGUCGAACGGAAAGGCCCUGCUUUUGUGGGGUGCUCGAGGGGCGAACGGGUGAGUAACACGUGAGUAACCUGCCCUUGACUUUGGGAUAACUUCAGGAAACUGGGGCUAAUACCGGAUAGGAGCUCCUGCUGCAGGGUGGGGGUUGGAAAGUUUCGGCGGUUGGGGAUGGACUCGCGGCUUAUCAGCUUGUUGGUGGGGUAGGGGCUUACCAAGGCUUUGACGGGUAGCCGGCCUGAGAGGGUGACCGGCCACAUUGGGACUGAGAUACGGCCCAGACUCCUACGGGAGGCAGCAGUGGGGAAUAUUGCACAAUGGGCGGAAGCCUGAUGCAGCAACGCCGCGUGCGGGAUGACGGCCUUCGGGUUGUAAACCGCUUUCGGCUGGGAAGAAGCGAGAGUGACGGUAAUUGGUAAAGAAGCACCGGCUAACUACGUG